AUCUCGCCCUGUUUGUUGGCAACCCAGAGGAUACUUGGUCUUAAAAACGGAAGACGUGAGCUGCUUGAACCAUGUGGAGAAGAAUCGUUUCUGGCUAAUCCCAAGUGAAUGACAAUCAAAAAUUUUCCUCACUUAUGUGAAUUUCUACACACGAUCCCACCCUCCGAGAUAUUUGCAACAUUCGGAAGAAAAACUUAUGCUUAAGCUGGAUACCACCUUAAACAGUACUUUUAAUAGUGACACAACGAUAGUACAACAAUAGCGACUCCAGGCAGAGUGCUCAUAGAAACAGAUUAGAUAAAGUAUUACUCCCACAUAGGAAAGUAGCUAUACUUGGUAUGGGUGCGGGGAAUCCAACCAGCAGUUCUUCAACACAUACAUCGGCAAUCGCUCAUCAAUCGUACAAUACAAAUUUGAACUAGAAUUCAUCGUAUGAUGGAAGAAGCACUCGUAGUCCUUUGUGUCAGAAAGUAAUAAAAAUCGUGCACCUAGAAGUAUAACACAAAAUAUACAACAACAGGGUUGAUGUUGAUAUUUCCCAUGCUUAUAAUAGGCGUGUUUUAUUUGACCACCACAAGCUAAUAGCUAAAUCAUGGACAAAUAAAACACAUUUAUCUUAUUUCACAUCUUCGCUUAAAAAUGAUUGUGUUGGCAAUGCGAGCCCGAACUCUCACCUGAUAUGUAUGUAAUUUAUUUGAAAAAAAUCGGUUGAAUUAAGAAAUCAAAUUUUCCUUUCGUUUACCACUUUUCUAUAAUGUUCUGACGUUUUAAGGAAUCUACAAUUAUUAUUUGCUCCGGGAUGGACAAAAUAAAUAUGGAUAAACUUUUUAUUUGCCAUUUUGCACAUCGAUAGAAUUUAAAAUUUUGGUUUGUUUACAUUUUAAUCUGUCAAAAUGCGGUUUCUCGCUAUUGACAGCUAUUUUUUUUUUUGGAAAAACCUAAAUAUUGUGAAUGUAAAAGAGCGAUGAACUGGCAAUGCUCUAGUUCAAGAUAAUUGUUGACUAAGUCUUCCAUACAAAAUAAGUUAAUAGCUUAAUUUGCUGGUCAAAUAAAACACGCCUAAUAUUGGUGGAUAAUCACCAAAUAGUGUAACAUGUAUAUGCCUUCAACCAGCAAGUAAUCACUACUCAGGCAACAAACACCGGCAGCAGCAGCAACAAUUAAUACAUAUUCAAAUUCAGAAUAAAAGUCAAAAUCGCACAACGCAACCGGCAAAUAACAAGGUUUAUUCUAGGAAUAGAGAUAUUUUAAUGAUUUCUAAGCAACUCUAAAUAUUUGUCUGCCAUCGAAUGAUGUACAUCAUAUUACAUCGGACUUUUGGAGUAUGAUGCCCUUGGAUCUACAAUUACACAAAUUUUACAAUGGAUAGUAUAAAUUUUUAACAUUCGCAAUAACACUAAAUUUAUUAAUUUAAAUGUAAAAUACUGUUAAAUUAGCAUCUUAUUUACAAAUGAAUGUACGAAUAUUUGUAACAAUCGUAAUAGUAGUAAAAUUUAAUUUGUAUUGUAUAACAACACAAAAAAUUAAUAGUUACAUGUUUUGAGAAAUUGUAAAUUAUAAAAAUUAAAUAAUUUAUACUUUAUAUGUAAAAUAUGUAAAUUUUAUCAAUGUAUAAAUGAUAGUCACAAAAAUGUUUGUAAAAAUUAAAGUUUACUUUGUACUGAAAUGCUAAUAUUUAAAAAUCAAUCUAUAAUAAUUAAUAAUAAUGUAAAAUGCCAUUCUAAUUCAUAAA